GGACAGGCCGUAACUCAGUGGUAGAGUCCCUGCCUUGAAUUCCACAGAUUCUGUUGCCUGCAGCACAUCUCCAGUCAGGACUGGGAAUCUUCCCUACCUGAAACUCUGGAAUCAGUAUGUAGAUGGACCAGUGGUCUGAUGUGGCACAAAGCUGCUUCCUAUGUUCCUACAUCUUAAGGUAAGGACUGCAACUCCCUGGUAGACCCUGCUUUGCAUGCAGAAGGUCGCAGGUUCAAUCCCCAGCGCCUCCA